rnacentral:rRNA from 1 species
AAUCAACGCUGGCGGCGCGCCUAACACAUGCAAGUCGAACGAGAAAGUGGAGCAAUCCAUGAGUAAAGUGGCGUACGGGUGAGUAACACGUGGAUCAUCUACCUCUUAGUGGGGAAUAACGCUGGGAAACCGGCGCUAAUACCGCAUAAGCCUUAGCAGGGAAAGUCGCCCUAGGUAAAACAGGGUGACGCUGAGAGAGGAGUCCGCGGCCGAUUAGCUAGUUGGUGAAGGUAAA